UCACCGCUGCUUCUCACGCCGCUGGGAGUUUCCUCCACCCCAUCGAAUUCGAGUUCCUCCCCUCUGAUUCCUCUUCCUCUCCGCCUAAGGUUUCCGACCCCGAUCCCAUUACGCGACACCCGUGAUCUGGAAGCGUUCCGUGGCAGACAGGCGCGGCGCCAUUUCGAGGGGUGGCGGUGGAUUCUGACGAGGGAGGUGCGUCUGUCAGCAACCUAUUCUUUGAGGCGAAGUGGAGAGAAGAGAGGAAGGAAGGGCAGGAAUCAUGAUGACGGUGACCCGAAGCUCGGUGAGCACCAUGUUCAUUGUGUUCGUCUGCACUCGCCUAAUCUGCGCCAUGAUGCACCUCAGGGACACCAGAAUGGCUUUCCUUGCCGCCACCAGAUCCGACCUCGGCAUUGCACUGUUUCGAUUUGUUACUUUGCGCUGUGUGGAUAAAGGAGACCCUUUUCUCUACGAGCUAUGUUGUUCUGUUUAAGUACAUCCUUGUGGUGGAGUGGGCUUGGAUCAAUGCACGCCCGGUUUCCAGCAUUGAUUUCCCUUGAGACAUAAAUGGGGGCUGCAAAGGAGGGAGGUGUCAUGAGUGACGAUAGGAGGGAGGUGUACACGGCCUUGCGUCAUUGGAAAUGUUGUUUUAAUUUUACUGUUUUAUUGGUCCUUUUGAUCAUUUGUUUGCUUUUUCUGGACAAUCAGGAUGCAUGAAAUCUAAUCGAGUUUGAGUGCCUUUUAGCACUGGAAUUACCGAGAAAAGAUUGAUAUUGUACAGCUAGAACAUGGGGUCAAUGGGCUGGAACCAGUUGUAGUUGCUAAUUUUCCAAUAAAGAAGUUUGGUGAUCAGUCCCUUGCAUUGGGCCAGGAGGCACAUUGAGGUGUACCAAGAGACAGAUGUUUUGCGCAUUCUUCCAUCUUGUGGCCAUACAUUCCAUGUUACUUGCAUAGAUAUGGCUGAAACAACAUUCAACAUGCCCUGUCUGUAGAAUUUCAUUGCGAGAUUCUCCUGAUAGAGAACAUGCACUGUGACCUCUCUACAGUUCAGCCACCAGAACCUUUUCUCACCCUGAAACCUUUGUUGCAGAUACAUGCCACUAUCAAUUUGCACAGUCAUGUUACUCUCCAAGGGUAGCAGAAAACCAGAGAACCGUCUCCCCUCAGGAAGACCAGUUGAUGUCAUUGCCAUCGGGAUCCAGUUAUAAUGCCUUCUUGAUCUGUAGCCAACUGCUCCAUAUCAAGCAAAAACAAGAUACAUCAAAUAUCUACAAAAUUCUUUGCCACUCAAAUAACAGGAAAUAGAAUAUGCUUGAGAUUGAUCUCCAUGCCAAAUACAUAGGGAUUGAAGGGAUUUAGAAGCUAACAUCAUAUCUGUACAACUGUUUGUCAUGAGCUGAAUGCUGCUUUUUAUCCGGCAUGAUGUUUGUUGAUCAAUUGUUGGAGAUUGUUGAAAUGGGUGGUUUUUGGU